GACAUUUUAACUAUUAAAGUGUAUAUUUUGAAAAUAUAAAAAAGAAUUAUUUUCUAAAUGUCU
rnacentral:tRNA from 1 species